rnacentral:rRNA from 1 species
UACGGAGGAUGCAAGCGUUAUCCGGAUUUAUUGGGUUUAAAGGGGGCGUAGGCGGAUGAUUAAGCGUGAGGUGAAAUGCCACUGCUCAACAGUGGAACUGCCUCGCGAACUGGUUGUCUUGAAUGCUCCUGCCGUGGGAGGAAUGUGCGGGGUAGCGGUGAAAUGCAUAGAUAUCACGAGGAACUCCGAUUGCGCAGGCAGCUUACUAGGCCAUAACUGACGCUCAGGCACGAAGGCGUGGGGAUCAAACAGGAUUAGAUUCCCUGGUAGUCCACGCAGUAAACGAUGAUUACUCGCUGUUUGCGAUACAAUGUAAGCGGCUAAGCGAAAGCAUUAAGUAAUCCACCUGGGGAGUACGGUCGCAAGAAUGAAACUCAAAGGAAUUGACGGGG